ensembl:snRNA U6 U6 spliceosomal RNA
GUGCUCGCUUUGGCAGCACAUAUACUAAAGUUGGCACGAUACAGGGAUUAGCAUGGCCCCUGCGCAGGGGUGAGGUGGACAUUCCAUGGACAGCCCACAUGGUA